rnacentral:rRNA from 1 species
CCUACGGGCGGCAGCAGUGAGGAAUAUUGGUCAAUGGACGAGAGUCUGAACCAGCCAAGUAGCGUGAAGGAUGAAUGCCCUAUGGGUUGUAAACUUCUUUUAUAGGGGAAUAAAAUGUUCCAGGUGGGGGAUUUGGUAUGGACCAUAUGAAUAAGGAUCGGCUAACUCCGUGCCAGCAGCCGCGGUAAUACGGAGUUUCCGAGCGUUAUCCGGAUUUAUUGGGUUUAACGGGAGCGUAGAUGGAUUGUUAAGUCAGUUGUGAAAGUUUGCGGCUCCACCGUAAAAUUGCAGUUGAAACGGGCAGUCUUGAGUACAGUAGAGUUGGGCGCAAUUCGUGGUGUAGCGGU